UUUUUUUUCAAGUUCAUCAUCUGGUAAUUUUUUUGACUGCACCUUUAAUAAAAAGUACAGACAAAUCUCUACUGCAAGAUGUAUGUAUCAAAGAAUCUAUGGCACUAUGCAGCAGCAGAAGGAAAGUACACUGAAAUUUAGUUGGAACAUCUUGAAGAUUUCGAAAGUGUAAUCCCGGUGAAACAACACAAACCAUUAUUGUAUCUUUAAUAACAAGUUACUGGAUCAAGACAACUUGCA